UUUGAGGCAAUGAAGGGAAGUGGCACGGGGAAGAGUAAGGGACAUCAACGGAGUGCCACUCAAAAAUGAACAGAACAGAUGAUAUUCACAAUGUGAAACACCCAUGGGCAUGCCCAGAGUGAGAAGAAAUUUCCAGCUUGCUAACUGUAACUCC